rnacentral:rRNA from 1 species
AGAGUGAACGCUGGCGGCAGGCCUAACACAUGCAAGUCGAGCGAGGCCAGGGGGGCAACUCCCUGAGUCGAGCGGCGGACGGGUGAGUAACACGUGGGUAACCUACCCGGAAGUGAGGAAUACCUCGGGGAAACUCGAGCUAAUACCGCAUGACAUCUCGAGGACGAAAGUCCUUGUGAUCAAAGCGGGGCCGCAAGGCCUCGUGCUACCGGAUGGGCCCGCGCCCGAUUAGCUAGUUGGCGAGGUAAUGGCUCACCAAGGCGACGAUC